GAAUUGAUCUGGUCAGGAUGAACGCUGGCGGCGUGCCUAACACAUGCAAGUCGAGCGAUUCUCUUCGGAGAAGAGCGGCGGACGGGUGAGUAACGCGUGGGUAACCUGCCUCAUACACAUGGAUAACAUACCGAAAGGUAUGCUAAUACAGGAUAAUAUAAGAAAUUCACAUGGAUUUCUUAUCAAAGCUCCGGCGGUAUGAGAUGGACCCGCGUCUGAUUAGCUAGUUGGUAAGGUAACGGCUUACCAAGGCGACGAUCAGUAGCCGACCUGAGAGGGUGAUCGGCCACAUUGGAACUGAGACACGGUCCAAACUCCUACGGGAGGCAGCAGUGGGGAAUAUUGCACAAUGGGCGAAAGCCUGAUGCAGCAACGCCGCGUGAGUGAUGAAGGCCUUCGGGUCGUAAAACUCUGUCCUCAAGGAAGAUAAUGACGGUACUUGAGGAGGAAGCCCCGGCUAACUACGUGCCAGCAGCCGC
rnacentral:rRNA from 1 species